CAGACUCUAAGCCAAUUGCCUCUCUAAGCUACUUUGCUUUGGGUGUGCCUUCUGGCCAGACUAAUAAAGGUCUGUUUUACUUUCCAACUUGUCUGGUGUGUUACCUCCCGGGUGUUCUUUGCUGCAGUCAGCUCCUCGGAGCAUUUGGUAAGGCCCUUGGUGUUACAUUUUGGAGGCCCCAGUGAGAUCCCCUGGCAGGAACCCCAAUUCAGCCAAGACCCCGUGGCAGGAUCCAGCAGGAAGCUCUUGGGCACAGACCUCAGAAAACCUCUGGAGGCAAAUGAAACAACACUUUGAAGCCUUUUGAAAUUAGGUGAGGCUAAUUAACCAGUUCUACCCAAUGAUCCGUGAGAAGGGACAUCAGUCUAUUCUGGCCUCAGAGACAAAACAGGUAUAAUCCCUCCCUGCUUUUUCUUUUUCUGCAGUAGAAAUCAUGGGGGUCCUCAUGAGAAGCUUAGAACUAAGAUAUUGGAGCAGUCUCAAUCAAGUCUGAGCCCCUGUAUGGAGAAGAGAUAUCUACAACACACUGAGAAUGAAUGCAUGAUGAAUUUUUAUAUUUUUAAUCCAUAGAAUAACCCAACCUAUUCAAACUAAAUAUAGUUUUUAAAUAUGCAUAUUUAAUUUAACAUCUGAAUUAUCUUCCAAUAUUAUUUUCCCUCCACUUUUGAAGUUGUAAUCCCAUUAUAUUUUGGCACCUAUUAUUACUGAUUAGAAAUGUGCUGCCAAGUUUACCUUUAUAAGCAAUUUUUAUUUUUAGUAGCUUCUAUCAUAAUUUUGUCUUUGGAGUAAAAACAUUUUGAGAUUGUUUUUCUGUGUGAAAUUUUCAUUCAUUAUUUUUCCUGCUUAAGAACAUACUUCUUCCAUUUGAGAAUUUAUGUUUUCCUUUCACUUUAGAAAAUUCUUGGCUGUGAUCAAUUAAAAUUGGAUAUAUAUUGACUCCAUAUUCCUUAGCUAAUUUUAAUGUUUCCCAUCUUCUUGUUACUUUUUGUACAUUCCAAGUAAUUUUUUCAAACCCAUUGUCCAAAUAUAAAUCCUUGUGUCAGUUGUAUCUGAUUUACUGUUCAAUCUUUGUAUUCAUAACGCAGACUUAUUUGGGUCCAUUUCAAACUUUCUGAUUCUUUUUAUGCACUUUUAUUUCUCCCUUAUGACUUCCUUUCUUUUUGCCUUUUUUGAACAAUUUAAAUAAACUGAUUGUAAG
rnacentral:lncRNA from 1 species